CCUACGGGAGGCAGCAGUGAGGAAUAUUGGUCAAUGGACGAGAGUCUGAACCAGCCAAGUAGCGUGAAGGAUGACUGCCCUAUGGGUUGUAAACUUCUUUUAUAUGGGAAUAAAAUGUUCCACGUGUGGGAUUUUGUAUGUACCAUAUGAAUAAGGAUCGGCUAACUCCGUGCCAGCAGCCGCGGUAAUACGGAGGAUCCGAGCGUUAUCCGGAUUUUUUGGGGUUAAAGGGAGCGUAGGGGGAUUGUUAAGUCCGUUGUGAAAGUUUGCGGCUUAAACGUAAAAUUGCAGUUGAAACUGGCAGUCUUGAGUACAGUAGAGGUGGGCGGAAUGCGUGGUGUAGCGGUGAAAUGCUUAGAUAUCACGAAGAACUCCGAUUGCGAAGGCAGUUCACUGGACUGCAACUGACACUGAGGCUCGAAAGUGUGGGUAUCAAACAGGAUUAGAUACCCCAGUAGUC
rnacentral:rRNA from 1 species